UUAGGAAUCGUUGACAAUGGGCGAAAGCCUGAUCACGCGACACCGCGUGUAGGAAGAAGCAUUUCGGUGUGUAAACUACUGUGGUAGGGGAAGAAGCCUCGGCGUAAGCCGGGAUUGACGGUACCCUACUAGAAAGUGUCCGCUAACUGCGUGCCAGCAGCGGCGGUAAUACGUGGGACACAAGCGUUAUCCGGUGUGACUGGGCGUAAAGCGUGUGUAGGCGUCCCUUCAAGUUUCUGCUUAAAGAUCCCGACUCAAUCGGGGGCAAGGCGGAAAAACUGGAGGGAUCGAGUUUUCUUUAGGGAAACUGGAAUUGACGGAGGAGUAGUGAAAUGCGUUGAUACCGUCAAGAACACCAGUGGCGAAGGCGAGUUUCUGAAAGAUAACUGACGCUGAGACACGAAAGCUAGGGGAGCGAACCGGAUUAGAGACCCGGGUAGUCCUAGCCGUAAACGAUGCUCGCUGGCUGCAUUCUCCCGAUUUAUCGGAAGGCUGUGGCGAAGCUAACGCGUUAAGCGAGCCGCCUGGGGAGUAUAGUCGCAAGGCUGAAACUCAAAGGAAUUGGCGGGGAGACACACAACUAGUGGAGCAUGUGGUUUAAUUCGAUACAAACCGAAGCACCUCACCAGGGUUCGACAUGUAAGAUGCCAUCUCGCAGAAACGUGAGAUUUCCGCAAGGACGCUUACAAAGCUGUUGCAUGGCUGUCGUCAGUUCGUUCCGUGAGGAGUGCCCUUAAGUGGGACAACGAACGCAACCUUCGUCGCAAGUUACAAGUAUCUUGCGAGACGGUCCUGCCUUUCGGCGGGAAGGAAGGAGAAGCAGACGUCAAGUCAGCAUGAUGCCUAUGCCCUGGGCGACACACAUGCUACAAUGAGAUCGACAGAGAGUUGCGAAGUGGUAACAUUUUAGCUAAUCUCCCAAACGAUCUCUCAGUGGGGAUUGAGGGCUGAAACUCGCCCUCAUGAACGCGGAAUUAGUAGUAAUCGCGGAUCAGCUAUGUCGCGGUGAAUACGUUCUUGUCUCUUGCACACACUGCCCGUCAAGCUAACAAAGUCGGGACUACCCGAACUCCGCUUUUGCGGGGGAGGGUAAAUUCGG
rnacentral:rRNA from 1 species